rnacentral:rRNA from 1 species
UACGUAGGGUGCGAGCGUUGUCCGGAAUUACUGGGCGUAAAGAGCUCGUAGGUGGUUUGUCGCGUUGUUCGUGAAAACCGGGGGCUUAACCCUCGGCGUGCGGGCGAUACGGGCAGACUUGAGUACUGCAGGGGAGACUGGAAUUCCUGGUGUAGCGGUGGAAUGCGCAGAUAUCAGGAGGAACACCGGUGGCGAAGGCGGGUCUCUGGGCAGUAACUGACGAUGAGGAGCGAAAGCGUGGGGAGCGAACAGG